rnacentral:rRNA from 1 species
UACAGAGGGUGCAAGCGUUGUUCGGAAUUACUGGGCGUAAAGCGCGUGUAGGCGGUCUACCAAGUCUUGUGUGAAAGCCCUGGGCUCAACCCAGGAAGUGCGCAAGAAACUGGCAGGCUGGAGUGUCGGAGAGGAUGGCGGAAUUCCCGGUGUAGAGGUGAAAUUCGUAGAUAUCGGGAGGAACACCUGUGGCGAAGGCGGCCAUCUGGACGAUUACUGACGCUGAGACGCGAAAGCAUGGGGAGCAAACAGG